GCCAGAAAACAGCAACAUGAACCCCAACUAUCCUCAAGGUUACCCAGGUGCACCAGUUCCAGGUUAUCCUCAGGGUCCUGGAUAUCAGCCAAGGCCAGGUGGGCCAGGCUAUCCUGCAGGUCCAGGAUGUCCACCAGGUUCAGCCUACCCACCUGGUCCUGGAUAUCCCCAGGAUCCCAAUUGUCCACAGCAUGGUCAUGGCCCUGAACAUGGUCACCAUGAACAUGGUCAUCAUGGUCACCAUGGGCAUGGUCACCAUGGGCAUGGCCACCAUGAACAUGGCCAUCAUGAACAUGGCCACCAUAAACAUGGCCACCAUAAACAUGGUCAUGGUCAUGGUCAUGGAAAGCACUCUGGCAGUGGAAGUGAUUCAGAUGGUGAACAUAAGCACAAGCAUGGACACUGCUAAGAAAAGGAGCAAGAAAUCUCCUGGAAAAGUCUCUCAGAACUGGCGUACUAUGCAGAUUCCAGCAUGGAUUCCUUUUUCUUAAAUAAUUACAAGUCUGACAUAAAAGUUUUUUGGGAAAAUGUGUCGGCUGCAUCUUUUUUUUUAUGAUCACAUGUGUGGUUAAUAAAAUGCUGUGUAUCUGGUGUGGUGCUUGUAUG
rnacentral:lncRNA from 1 species